rnacentral:rRNA from 1 species
AGAUGAAGUAUGAUAUGACUGAGUGGCGGGACGGGUGAGUAACGCGGUGAGUCCCCUGCCCCCCCCGAGGGGGAUAGCGUUUGGAAACGAACGGUAAUACCGCAUAAUGUAUUUUGACCGCAUGAUCGAAAUACCAAAGAUUUAUCGCUGAGGGAUGGACUCGCGUCUGAUUAGGUAGUUGGUGGGGUAACGGCCUACCAAGCCGACGAUCAGUAGCCGGACUGAGAGGUUGAUCGGCCACAUUGGGACUGAGACACGGCCCAGACUCCUACGGGAGGCAGCAGUGGGGAAUAUUGCACAAUGGGCGCAAGCCCGAUGCAGCAACGCCGCGUGAAGGAAGACGGUUUUCGGAUUGUAAACUUCUGUUCUUAGUGAAGAAUAAUGACGGUAGCUAAGGAGCAAGCCACGGCUAACUACGUGCCAGCAGCCGCGGUAAUACGUAGGUGGCAAGCGUUGUCCGGAAUUACUGGGUGUAAAGGGAGCGCAGGCGGGUGAUCAAGUCAGCUGUGAAAACUACGGGCUUAACCCGUAGACUGCAGUUGAAACUGUUCAUCUUGAGUGAAGUAGAGGUUGGCGGAAUUCCGAGUGUAGCGGUGAAAUGCGUAGAUAUUCGGAGGAACACCGGUGGCGAAGGCGGCCAACUGGGCUUUAACUGACGCUGAGGCUCGAAAGUGUGGGGAGCAAACAGGAUUAGAUACCCUGGUAGUCCACACUGUAAACGAUGAUUGUUAGGGGGGGGGGGGUUUUGACCCCUUCCGUGCCGGGAGCUAACGCAAUAAGCAAUCCACCUGGGGAGUACGACCGCAAGGUUGAAACUCAAAGGAAUUGACGGGGACCCGCACAAGCAGUGGAUUAUGUGGUUUAAUUCGAAGCAACGCGAAGAACCUUACCAGCACUUGACAUCCAACUAACGAAAUAGAGAUAUAUUAGGUGCCCUUCGGGGAAAGUUGAGACAGGUGGUGCAUGGUUGUCGUCAGCUCGUGUCGUGAGAUGUUGGGUUAAGUCCCGCAACGAGCGCAACCCUCGCCAUUAGUUGCUACGCAAGAGCACUCUAAUGGGACUGCUACCGACAAGGCGGAGGAAGGUGGGGACGACGUCAAAUCAUCAUGCCCCUUAUGUGCUGGGCUACACACGUAAUACAAUGGCCAUCAACAGAGAGAAGCAAUACCGCGAGGUGGAGCAAAACUUCAAAAAUGGUCUCAGUUCGGACUGCAGGCUGCAACCCGCCUGCACGAAGUUGGAAUUGCUAGUAAUCGUGGAUCAGCAUGCCACGGUGAAUACGUUCCCGGGUCUUGCACA